AAACUCAAAGGAAUUGACGGGGACCCGCACAAGCGGUGGAUGAUGUGGUUUAAUUCGAUGCAACGCGAAAAACCUUACCCACCUUUGACAUGUACGGAAUUUGCCAGAGAUGGCUUAGUGCUCGAAAGAGAGCCGUAACACAGGUGCUGCAUGGCUGUCGUCAGCUCGUGUCGUGAGAUGUUGGGUUAAGUCCCGCAACGAGCGCAACCCUUGUCAUUAGUUGCUACGAAAGGGCACUCUAAUGAGACUGCCGGUGACAAACCGGAGGAAGGUGGGGAUGACGUCAAGUCCUCAUGGCCCUUAUAGGUGGGGCUACACACGUCAUACAAUGGCCGGUACAAAGGGUCGCAAACCCGCGAGGGGGAGCUAAUCCAUCAAAGCCGGUCGUAGUCCGGAUCGCAGUCUGCAACUCGACUGCGUGAAGUCGGAAUCGCUAGUAAUCGUGGAUCAGCAUGUCACGGUGAAUACGUUCCCGGGUCUUGUACACACCGCCCGUCACACCAUGGGAGCGGGUCUCGCCAGAAGUAGUUAGCCUAACCGCAAGGAGGGCGAUUACCACGGCGGGGUUCGUGACUGGGGUGAAGUCGUAACAAGGUAGCCGUA
rnacentral:rRNA from 1 species